UACCUCAAAAUUCCGCAACAGUCUGUUUCAUCAGUAAAGAAUCAUCAGGCGGUAUGAUGAUUCUUUACUGAUGAAACACACUGUUGAUGAUUCUUUACUGAUGAAACAGACUGUUGCGGAAUUU